AUUCGGCAUACUUAGACAGGUAUUUCUGGACGGAUCCCAUUUUUUUUGAAAAUACGGGACCAGAUUGAAUCCAUCCUACAUAGGACACGAGUUAAUAAACAAUUCUUUAAAAAAAAGAGAUGGAAGAGAAACAGACUCAAUGACUAAUGAAGUUUGACACAACCGACUUUUGUCCUUCCUUAGCACCUUCUCACCCAAAGUUGCCCAAUUCUGGGUUUUAAGUCAAAUUUAACAUUUGAAGUCGUUUUCCUCUAUAUAUAAAACAUUCUACACUUACCAUGAAGACACAGCACUUUUAAAGGCUUAGACAUAUUGAUUCAAAACUGUAUAAAAGCAAAUAGACAAGAUUGUUCAAAACCUAUUAGA